rnacentral:ncRNA from 1 species
GACACGAAAAGGCAAACCCGGUGAAAACCGGGGUGCAAAGCUAUGGGUCUAAAGCACAUACUUGCCAUGAUCGCCAGACGCCGAA